UGGGGAAUUUUGGACAAUGGGCGCAAGCCUGAUCCAGCCAUGCCGCGUGCGGGAAGAAGGCCUUCGGGUUGUAAACCGCUUUUGUCAGGGAAGAAAUCUUCUGAGUUAAUACCUCGGGAGGAUGACGGUACCUGAAGAAUAAGCACCGGCUAACUACGUGCCAGCAGCCGCGGUAAUACGUAGGGUGCAAGCGUUAAUCGGAAUUACUGGGCGUAAAGCGUGCGCAGGCGGUUUUGUAAGACAGAGGUGAAAUCCCCGGGCUCAACCUGGGAACUGCCUUUGUGACUGCAAGGCUUGAGUGCGGCAGAGGGGGAUGGAAUUCCGCGUGUAGCAGUGAAAUGCGUAGAGAUGUGGAGGAAUACCGAUGGCGAAGGCACGCCCCGUGGCCAAUACUGACGCUCAUGCAGCGAAAGCCGU
rnacentral:rRNA from 1 species